CUCUCUUUUCUACCCUCUCUCUAUCCCCUUUGCCGGAGCCGAAGCCUCUACACAAAGCGGCGCCCACGACGACGGCGCUUUGAAACAAUGAGCGACUUGAUGUGGAUUCAAAGAAACGAUGAUCUCGUCAAUCGUCACUUCACUGCAGCACGUGCAGCGGCAUCGCAGUUUCAGAGCGACAGCACUCGCCGCCGCUCAUAGAUUGGCAGAUUCAACGGCAAUGGCAGUGGCAUCGGAGCUUCAGAGGUUUGCAUUGCAAUUAUCAGAAGAUGGUAAAGUGAUGGUCUGUGUGGUUUUUGGUUGAGGUGCAACUGUGCGACUAGGUGUUGGAGUGCGGCUGCACGGCGAGGUGCUCUAUCUAAUUUAUUUUUUUGUGGUGAUUGUUGAUAGUGCCAGUUGCAGAUUUGGGAUUUUUUUUGGUGGGGAUUGUAAUUGUGGUGUGGUAGAGAUGAGAGGCUGUUGGUGGUGCAGUGGUGGAUUUGGCUGUGGCGGGGGCUAAAACGAAACGUUGAGAUGGUCACAAAUUAUUUGGUGUUGGUGUGGUGGCAUGAUGAUGGCGAUGGCAGAGGCAGUGGCAAUCGAUGGUGACAGUGGUGAUGGAGUGGGAUGAAUAGUGGUGAGGUAUUGGUAGUUACGUAUAAUGAUUGUUAUCGAUAAAUAACGUGGCCAAUGAAAUAUAUAAUUUGUGACUAAUAAAUAAUGUAUGAUCUAAAAAUUCGUUACAUUAUGAUCAAUAAUUUAAUAAUUUGUGAUCUAUAAAUAAUUUAUGACCAAUUAAUUUGAUAUUUUUGUAAUCAUAAAAUAAAUUGUGACUAAUAAAAUUUAUGAAUUGUG
rnacentral:lncRNA from 1 species